rnacentral:rRNA from 1 species
GCUCAUUAUAACAGCUAUAAUUUACUUGAUCUUGACAACCUACUUGGAUAACUGUGGUAAUUCUAGAGCUAAUACAUGCACCAAAGCUCUGACCUUACGGGAAGAGCGCAUUUAUUAGAACAAAACCAAGCGACCUCGGUCGUUUUUUGUUGACUCAGAAUAACUAAGCUGAUCGCACGGUCAUGCACCGGCGACGUGUCUUUCAAGUAUCUGCCUUAUCAACUUUCGAUGGUAGUGUAUCUGACUACCAUGGUGGUGACGGGUAACGGAGGAUAAGGGUUCGACUCCGGAGAAGGGGCCUGAGAAAUGGCCACUACGUCUAAGGAUGGCAGCAGGCGCGCAAAUUACCCACUCUCAGAACGAGGAGGUAGUGACGAAAAAUAACGAGACCGUUCUCUACGAAGCCAGUUAUCGGAAUGGGUACAAUUUAAACCCUUUAACGAGUAUCUAUGAGAGGGCAAGUCUGGUGCCAGCAGCCGCGGUAAUUCCAGCUCUCAAAAUGCAUAGAAUUAUUGCUGCGGUUAGAAAGCUCGUAGUUGGAUCUGUGCCAGGGACUUGGUCCACCUUCGGGUGCGUACUGAGCUCCCUGGCUUUUUGCCGGUUUUCUCGUCGUAGCCUUUACUGGUUGCGGCGGGUGGCUGGCAAUUUUACUUUGAACAAAUCAGAGUGCUUAACACAGGCGUUUCGCUUGAAUGUUCGUGCAUGGAAUAAUAGAAAAGGAUUUCGGUUCUAUUUUAUUGGUUUUAUAGACUGAGAUAAUGGUUAACAGAGACAAACGGGGGCAUUCGUAUCGCUGCGUGAGAGGUGAAAUUC